UUGGACCUGAAUCAGGCAAAGAUACCCCCG
rnacentral:rRNA from 1 species